CAGGCAGUAGCUCAGUGGUGAGCUCACGCUUCAUAUGCAGGAAGACCUGGGUUCGAUUCCCGGCUGCUUAC
rnacentral:tRNA from 1 species